AUGGAUUCUCAUACCGGCGAGUUGUAGCCCUUCGGUCCUCACUUCUCUUCCCCACUUUUUUGCCUGUUCCUUGAGAGAAGACUUUGGCCAACGUUCAACAAAUGCACCAACUUAACUGGGAAGAACAGAAGCUGUGAUGACUCCCAUGGGGGCCAUGGAGGAGGAUUCUUCAGAUGAAGACCGAGAGCAGAGGGAGCAGGCUGAAGCUCCGUCCGGCUCAACAGAGCCAGAGCUGACAGGCUUGCAGGCCCCUCUGCCUGCUUCCCUCCUUCCUCCUGAUGAAACCUCCAAAGCUGCUGAAGGCGAGGUGCCUGUCCCAGAUCCCCAACAAUGACAUUUGGCCAGAGUACAGGCUCAGGGGGAGAAACGCCGUAGGUCAGAGAGGCUAGCCAGAAGGAACAGGUGACCCAGCUCUGGCCCGGCUGUAUCUCUUUGAUAAGACUCAGCUGCAGUGAUGGGUGGGACUCUCAGCACUCUGCCUAUUUAGAGCAGCCUGGAAGCUGGGUCUGUGCUGGAAACAACGUCCGUAGUGACCAGCCCCACCAUGAGCAACCUUGACUCUGUUUCGUGUGUACCCCUGAUCCUAUAGACUGCCCGGUUUAGACCUCUGGCAACAUUUGUGACUCUCCAAUCGUCUGUCCUCUGGUGUUGACUCCUGUCUGCAUCUGGCUUUCCGUUCCUGUCUCUCCUUUCUGUCUCUCUUUUCCUCUCCGAAAAGAGUGGUUUUUGCAGCUGCUGGGCAGUCGGCCAAGGCAGGUCAUUACAGAAGCACUCAAUGCAAACUAGAAAUAGGUACCUGAGAGCUGCAUGACCCUCAGGGACCUAUUUCCAAGUCACAUCAAAUGCUUCUCAGGGAAAGGGAGACUGGUGAAAAUCCCCUCCACAAGUGCACUUAGCAGCAGUGUCUGCACAGCACCAGUGCUUCUCGUGAAAUGCUGCUGCUUCAUUAGUCUGUAUUUCAGUCAUUGAACUCAUGUACAAUUAUUCAUGUUAUUUUGUACUCACAUAUACUGCCUAAUUGUACCAUGUAUUUGAGAGAUUGUACCCAGUGAAGCUGAAUUUGUGUAAAUCCUCAAUUAGUUAUCUUCUACUAAUUGUGCUGAUUGAAGUUGUUGCCUGCUGAGGAAGUAGCAUUCACCGUAUGCUCAGAGAUACGUUACCAGAUUAUUCUUAAACACUGCUGUAACACGAAUCCCCAGCUUUUGCUGUUGCCCAGCAGCCUACACAUAUAGUGGAUUGGAGCACGGAGGACCUAGCCAAAUUGUGUUUCUAUGGUUAUGAUUUUGUAAGUUAGUACAAUAUCUCAGAAUGGACAUCAGGUCUCAUGCCCCAUGCUGUGAUAUCACCGGCCAUUAGAUUCCCUCACUUUUUGGAGUUCAGUUGAAGCUGCCGCACUCAUAACAAUCCAUAUAAAUCAACAUUUCCCCCCCAUUCAUUCACAGUCUCCAUACAUACAAGACAAAAAAAAGAAAAGGAGGCAAAGGGAUCUCAAACGUGCAUAUUGGGAGUUCCUAGAAACAGGCAUAUAAGAUGUGCAUGUAUGUUGGUAAUGGGAUACAAUGAAAAAGCAGAGGAAAUUUUGUUGUAUGAGACAGGAAGAGAUAUGUGUUCCUGACUGUUUAACCAUGAUUACAUAAGAGAUUGGGAGAAAACUAGA